CUUGGCGACCACAGCGUUUUGGACCCACCUGAACCCAUUCCGAACUCAGAAGUGAAACGAAAUAGCGUCGAUGGUAGUGUGGGGUUUCCCCAUGUGAGAGUAGAACAUCGCCAGGC
rnacentral:rRNA from 1 species